CACACCAUGUCGGCUUCACUACUGUGGCUUUAUGGGAAGUCUUUAAAUCAAUUAUUCACUCUCAGUUGUCUGCAUUUUAAAUAUGUUGUUCCAAUGUCAUCUGUUCUUAAUGGUUUCUGAUGUCACAUCCACCAUCAUUUGAAUCAUUGUUCCACCACAGAAUACCACAGACUGGGUGAUUUAUAAAGAAAAUGAAUUAUUUCUCACAGUUCUUGAGGUUGGGAAGUCCAGGAGCAUGACAUGGAAGCAGUUCUGUCUCUCUUGCUACCUUGUGAAGAAGAAUUCAACCGCUUCGCCUUCCACCGUGAUUACGUUUCCUGAAGCAUUCCUAGCCACGUGGAACUGUGAGUCAAUUAAAUCCUUUUCCUUUAUAAAUUACCCAAUUUCAAGUAUUUCUUCAUAGAAGCUUGAGAAGGAACUAUUAGCCUGGUGCAAAGGUAAUUGUAGUUUGUGCCAUUGUUUUUAAAGUAAGGGUCAAACCUGCAAUUACUUCCACACCAACCUAAUAAUACAUAUACUAUCCAGACUUCUUGGUUUUCAAAAGUUUCUCUGUUGUAAACACUCCAAUGAUAGUAUAAUCGCAUUGCUAUUUUUCUUUUAGAAGUUUAUUUGCCAAAAUCCAUAACAUAGAAGAAGAUAGAAAUAAUUGGUGCUUAAUUGGUUUACAGUUAUAUCAGAGGCAAUCAUAGUAUGAGUGAAGACCUCAUAAGGAUAGAAUCAUAUCAGUAAUGUUUAUAUCUUCUGUGAAUUAUUAUGAAGCUUUAGUGUCUCUAUUUCUCUACUGAAAUGUAUGUACAGUACCUAGUGUUUCCUCCUAAGUACUUGGGCUUCUCCGACCUGCAGCAUAUAGGCCACAAGCAGCCCAGCGCAGCUUUGAAUGUGGCCCAACACAAAUUUAUAAAUUUUCUUAAAACAUUAUGAGAUUAAAAAAAAAUUUUCUUAGCUCAUCAGCUAUUGUUAGUGUUAGCACAUUUCAUGUGUGGCCAAAGACAAUUCUUCUUCCAGUGUGACCCAGGGAAGCCAAAAGAUUAGAUACUCCAGACUUCAGUGAUUGAAUAUAAAGGACUAUUAAAAAGGUUCUUCAUUUAGCACUCUAGACAGGAGGACAAUUUAUUGCUAAAAUUUUCAGUUUACCGAUUUUAUUUUAUAGCUGCUUUGUCAAAGUUUACAUAUUUUUAAGAUUUUACAAAGCAAUUGUAUGUUAAAUAAAAUUCAGAAAGCAAAUAGAAUAUUAAUAUCUCACAUUAUAUAAUAUAUAAUUUAUACACAGGUAUAUAUACACACAAAAUAUACAUAUAUACAUAUAAAAUAUAUACAUAUAUGUAUACAUUUUUAUAUAUACAUAUGUAUCCAUAUACAAAUAUAUAUACACAAUAAAAUGUACAUAUACA
rnacentral:lncRNA from 1 species